GUUCUUUAUUUGUGUUAUCAAAUGGAUGGAUGAUGGAACGAAUUACACAAGGCCAGGGCGUCUUUUCACUCCUGAUACCAGAAUGAGAAACCAUCAAGCUGAGAGCAAUACAUAAAGACAAAGGUUUUGCUACACAAAUUGUAUAUAGGAUUAUCAAAGUACAGCAGGAUAAUUAUCCUGCCAGGUAAAAAUAUUUUCAAUGGUAAAUAUUCCUUAAACUUAAAAUUCACCACUAAGCCUUUAGGACAUAGUUGUCCUCUCUGUAGUGUUUUGCCCUGUUUUUGUGAUCCAGCCUUUUCUUUAACCUCGAAGGACGCCAAGGGGAUUUCAUAAAUAUUUUUCCCAUGACACAAAUGCAGCAGACAUGCACAUGAAAACCCCUCUGAACUGAACCGCACACACAGCACACAACACUGGACGGCAGCCCACAGGCUGCUGCUGCAGCAUUAGCGUAUGCGUAUGGGAGUGCUGCCGCGAGGAGGUCUGCGGAUGCCGGACCGAAGCGUCUGUCUGCUCCACCGGCUGCUCUGUCCCUCUGCUGCCUUCCUCAUCUUACUCCACCAAACCUGGCGAGAGAGCUGACGGAGAGGUAUUUGUGCAUGUACAGUAUGUACAUGUUAGGCCGUUUCUGUGCACGCAUGACUUUUGUAAACUACAUAUACUCACGGUAGCUUUUUUUUGUGUGUUGGACUAUCUGUCCAUCUGGUCUACUGUCUGUUUCAACUCGGUCUGUAAUCUGCAGGUGAGAAAGGAACCAAGCUGUCAGAAUGCAAAACACAACGUGAAAGAAAACUAAGCCAAACCUCCAGCAGACACAAUGAAGAGGAAGGAGCUCGGACUCAUAAGAGUCCGACAAGUGAGAACUCGGGGAGGUUAAGGUUUGUGGUGCAGGUGAAGCUUACGCGGAGCUGGAGAAAAACAGGAAGCCCGGCCAACACCACCCAUAGCCAAGUGCCGAAGUGCUUAAAAAAUGUCUCGGGCGGAAAAUAAAUGAUAUACAGGAACACGUUGAGAUGCUUUGGGUCUGAUGAGGUUUCCUGUUUGAGGGCCAGUUAAGAUGCAUAUCAAUGAGUACAUGAGAUGCUGAAGGCAAGAC
ensembl:lncRNA